CACGUAGGGGGCAAGCGUUGUCCGGAUUUAUUGGACGUAAAGAGCUCGUAGGCGGUUCGGUAAGUUGGGUGUGAAACCUCCAGGCUCAACCUGGAGACGCCACCCGAUACUGCUGUGACUAGAGUCCGGUAGGGGAGCGUGGAAUUCCUGGUGUAGCGGUGAAAUGCGCAGAUAUCAGGAGGAACACCAGCGGCGAAGGCGGCGCUCUGGGCCGGAACUGACGCUGAGGAGCGAAAGCGUGGGUAGCAAACAGG
rnacentral:rRNA from 1 species